GUGGGGAAUAUUGGGCAAUGGGGGCAACCCUGACCCAGCGACGCCGCGUGAGGGAAGAAGGCCUUAGGGUCGUAAACCUCUGUUGUGUGGGAAGAAGGAAGUGACGGUACCACACGAGGAAGUCCCGGCUAACUACGUGCCAGCAGCCGUGGUAAUACGUAGGGGACGAGCGUUGUCCGGAAUUACUGGGCGUAAAGGGCGCGUAGGCGGUCAUUUAAGUCAGCUGUGAAAUGGUCCGGCUCAACCGGAUCAUGCGGUUGAAACUGGAUGACUGGAGUGCUGGAGAGGCAAGUGGAAUUCCCAGUGUAGCGGUGAAAUGCGUAGAUAUUGGGAAGAACACCGGUGGCGAAGGCGACUUGCUGGCCAGCAACUGACGCUGAGGCGCGAAAGCCAGGGGAGCAAACGGGAUUAGAUACCCGGGUAGUCC
rnacentral:rRNA from 1 species